CAACAUGAACAUAAAGCAAAGAGCGGAGGGGCAUCAUCAAACGCAGGCUUUUACUUCGUAGCCUGGGCAAUGAUGUUACUGAUGGAGCUAGCUUCCCCUUUAGCAGCCUCUACCAACGAAUCCUAUCAAAGUAGGUAAGCGAAUUGUUAAGAGAGAAAAAAAAGUAUGGACUUUUUGAGAGUAGUCCAACACAGGUUUUGCGAUUUUCUAUUGUACUCGUGUUUUUAUAUCUGUACAAACUAUAUUGGAAGCACAAACCCAUUCAAGAG
rnacentral:lncRNA from 1 species